UACGUAGGUGACAAGCGUUGUCCGGAUUUACUGGGCGUAAAGCGCACGUAGGCGGCUCUUUAAGUCGGGGGUGAAAUCCUGGAGCUCAACUCCAGAACUGCCUUCGAUACUGUAGAGCUUGAGUUCGGGAGAGGUGAGUGGAACUGCGAGUGUAGAGGUGAAAUUCGUAGAUAUUCGCAAGAACACCAGUGGCGAAGGCGGCUCACUGGCCCGAUACUGACGCUGAGGUGCGAAAGCGUGGGGAGCAAACAGG
rnacentral:rRNA from 1 species